GAUGAACGCUGGCGGCGUGCCUAAUACAUGCAAGUCGAGCGAACGGACGAGAAGCUUGCUUCUCUGAUGUUAGCGGCGGACGGGUGAGUAACACGUGGAUAACCUACCUAUAAGACUGGGAUAACUUCGGGAAACCGUAGCUAAUACCGGAUAAUAUUUUGAACCGCAUGGUUCAAAAGUGAAAGACGGUCUUGCUGUCACUUAUAGAUGGAUCCGCUCUGCAUUAGCUAGUUGGUAAGGUAACGGCUUACCAAGGCAACGAUGCAUAGCCGACCUGAGAGGGUGAUAGGCCACACUGGAGGUGGGCCACGGUCCAGACUACUACGGGAGGCAGCAGUCGGGAAUCGUCGGCAGUGGGCGAGAGCCUGGCGGAGCAACGCCGCGUGAGUGAUGACGGUCUUCGGAUCGUAAAACUCUGUUAUGAGGGAUGAACAGCUGUGUAAGUAACCGUGCACAGCUUGACGGUACCUAAUAAGAAAGCACCGGCUAACUACGUG
rnacentral:rRNA from 1 species